AGGGAGGUAGUGACAAGAAAUACCGGUGUGAGGCUUCAUGUCUUGUAAUUGGAAUGAGUACAAUUUAAACCCCUUAACGAGUAUCAAUUGGAGGGCAAGUCUGGUGCCCGCAGCCGCGGUAAUUCCAGCUCCAAUAGCGUAUAUUAAAGUUGUUGCGGUUAAAAAGCUCGUAGUUGGAGUUCUGCCUGGUGACGCCCGUCCGCCCAAGUGGUGUGUACAGGGUGUACAUCUGGCCCUUUCAAGGGGAACGUAUCUGCACUUAACUGUGCGGUGCGAGAUCCUUGACUUUUACUUUGAGGAAA
rnacentral:rRNA from 1 species